rnacentral:rRNA from 1 species
UACAGAGGGUGCAAGCGUUAAUCGGAAUUACUGGGCGUAAAGCGUGCGUAGACGGUAGCGUAAGUCGGGGGUGAAAGCCCCGGGCUCAACCUGGGAAUGGCAUUCGAGACUGCUCUGCUAGGGUGCGGAAGAGGGGAGCGGAAUUUCCGGUGUAGCGGUGAAAUGCGUAGAUAUCGGAAGGAACACCAGUGGCGAAAGCGGCUCCCUGGUCCAGCACCGACGUUCAGGCACGAAAGCGUGGGGAGCAAACAGG